GUGCAACUAGUGAGCGCGGUUGGUGGAAGGAUUCAAAAGAUCCGGAUAAGGAUAAUGAUAGAGCAUCUGGGAGGACAUCUUAUAAUUCACAGCAAAGAGAUGAUAAACCACAAGCUGCGAAGGAGGACAGGCACCAUGGUGGGUCCUCGAAACUGGAGGUUGAUGCACCCGCUCCUGCUCGGAAAAGGCCUGCAUUUAGGGAGAAGAAGAUUACAGUAGACAAUGAAAGUGGUGAGAAAGCGGCAAUGGUAUCAGAGAGUAAGAAAUCAAGUGAUCCGCACCAGCCUCAGGAGGGAAGGGAACGAAGAGAAGAAAGAGGUCGUGACACUCGUUAUUCUGAGAAACUUAAUAAGCAUGUCAAUGGAGACAUGGCCACCAAAAGGGAUGAAGUGAAGAGAGG
rnacentral:misc_RNA from 1 species